AGGCCGUGAUUUUCCCUCCUAAUCUGCGGGAAGGAGAUUAGAUUAAAUCUGUUGCACAGCGACUGUGACCUCACCACCGACCCAUUUCACAAUGCUGCGCUGUACUGUGGUUUCUUCUUUAUAUGUCUGAGCCACCGGGGACGCUGCAGCCGAGACCUUUGUGCCUCCCGAACACAACCAGGGAAGUUUCUGGAGUUUCUGGUGCCCUGGAGGAGCAGUCAUGCUCACCAUUAGGAGUCCUCCUAAAAAGAGUUUCCUCUCUAUUCACCAUCCAAUUGUUCUUGAGAUAGUUCAGUCUAGCUCCAGGGGGUGGACAACUGGACUCCUAAAACCAUGGAAAAGCUGAAGAAAUCCAAAAGGGAGCUGGAAAAGCACGAUUCAAACAUUCAGUCCAGUGAGCACCAAGGCUGCGGAGACAGAAGAGAUGCUCCAGACUGUGAGAACAAGCAACGCUCUCUGCGUCAAGCUGCAGCUGAGUUGCAUCAUCAAGUAACGGAGAAGACCAACAAGCUUGAACACAGAGAGUGAACACACCUGCCUGCAGAUCCCGUACGCACCUGCUGCUGAGCUUCACUCAGACCUCGAAGAUGUUGAGCUUAUUGAGAAGUAGGAGGUGAAUGCGCUUUGCCCCAAGUUCAGUCAGUUACAGAAAAACUUAUGUAGGCAGUCCGGCUUGGGAGGAGCAAGAGGCUUUGCUGAAGAACCAGAGAUUGGAGAUGGACAGGCUUCAGGCUGCUGUGAGGUCGGCCGAGGAGCAGCUGGAAGUCCAACGUCUCAACAAAAGUUGUGUAAAACAAAGAGCAACUGUGGGGGGAGAUGUUAGAAGAGGUGGAGAGCUGGUUGAAAGAAGUGAGCGACAGGAGGCCCAGGAGCAGGUACUGCUUUGUCAGAGUAGGUGGACUGUGGUUUUUGAAUGAACACCCAGCCGUCCGUGGAGGGCAGGAUCUCUCUUUGAAUUGUCUCUCCUGAGGUUUCUUCACAUUUUGGUCUUAGAAAGCUUGGGCUGGUGGGGGGAACCAUUGUUGAUGUGGACCUGUAGAGAUUUAGUUAACCUCAAGUUAAAUGUUCUAUAAAUCACUGAAAUAAGAACAUUACAAACAAAAUAAAUAAAAUGUACCUCCAAAUGAA